rnacentral:rRNA from 1 species
UUCCAUACAAUCACCGAAGUUAAGCAACGUCAAGCCUGGUUAGUACCUUGAUGAGUGACCUCUUGGGAAUACCAGGUGCU